AUUGAACGCUAGCGGGAGGCCUAACACAUGCAAGUCGAGCGGAGCGGCGGACGGGUGAGUAAUGCAUCGGAACCUGCCCAGUAGCGGGGGAUAACUACCGGAAACCGGAGCUAAUACCGCAUACUAUUGGAUCAGCCGAUUUCGGAUUAGCUAGUUGGUGGGGUAACGGCUUACCAAGGCGACGAUCCGUAACUGGUCUGAGAGGAUGAGCAGCCACACUGGAACUGAGACACGGUCCAGACUCCUACGGGAGGCAGCAGUGGGGAAUAUUGGACAAUGGGGGAAAGCCUGAUCCAGCCAUGCCGCGUGUGGGAAGAAGGUCUUCGGAUUGUAAAGCACUUUAAGCAGGGAAGCGGUACCUGCAGAAUAAGCACCGGCUAACUUCGUGCCAGCAGCCGCGGUAAUUC
rnacentral:rRNA from 1 species